UUUCAAAAAUACCCGUGUACGUGUGGACGUAGCCUGAAUUGCAAUUAAAAAAAACCACAACUUUAUUGCUGGCCAUGAUCAGAAACCAAACCGUGAACCACUAACUGGAACACACAGGCAAAAUCUUAGGGUACAACAUGAGACUGACACAGAAACACGGGGUUUAAAUACACUGAGGCGUAAUCAGAGAAUGGAAAACAGGAGGGAGACACAGCUGGGAGAGAUCAGGGGUAACGAGACAGAGGAAGUGAAACUAGAAACACUGACAUAAGACAUAAACCUUCAAAAUAAAACAGGAAACAAUUCACAAAGACACAAACUAAGAAACACGGACUUACGCAGAGGGAACACACGGGCAGAGAAGACUAAGCACGGAACUAAACCUAUACUAAACAUGAGGGCAUAAGAACAAAAUCUAAACCGGAAUAAGCUGGAACUUAGAAUAAUAAUAAUAAUCAACACAGGAGAGCUAAAGAAUCAGAACAUAAAUCAUAAUACAGAAGAAUACCAAAAACAUAAGAAACUGAAAAUGCUGGGUCAGAAUGACCCAGAACCGUGACACUGAUAGCAGAUGCACUAAAGAAUAGCUGGAACAGCGACAGAGGAGACCGUGCUGUUGUGGCAUUAAAUACAGGGCAAGAGUUCCUUGCUGGCAUAAACUUGAAGGGUCGGGAUUUCUGUCCUCCUCAUCCCUGUUUUUCCACACUUCUUCCACCUCAGAACACCCACUUUGCCGACAGUUGAAAGACUGUCGUAAAUAGCACCACUAAAUGAACAGUGGGAUGUGGUCAGUUUCAUUGUCAUUAUUGAUUCAGUAACGUCAUUAUGCAAACAUGAGUGCUUUAAUUUUAUAACAAAAACCUAUGUUUUUGGUAGGACACACAGCGGGGAAUGAAGGAGGACGCGACAAUGAGCAGAGGAAGAGACCGAUACUAAAUACAAGAGGAGAACAGGGCAAAGAGGAAACGCCUAGGAAACAGACGAGACGGGGAAAGAAAAAACAUGAAAACAUAACUGAGUGGCAGCGUAACAAAACUAAGAACUACACAUCAGAAAUACUAAAUAUAUAGGGGAGCUUGAAAUACUAAAACUAAAUAAUAGAAACACUAAAUCAAAGAAUAUAGAUAAAUCAAAACCAUAACCACAGGGACCCAGGCAGCGGUGUCACAAUUUCUAAAUCGCUAUUUUCUGGGACUGGAAUGGUGAGGUCCUCAUCAUCUGAAGAUGACUCUUCCACACAAAGCUGUGUCCCACUAUCAAGGCAGGGACAACAAAAAUUCAAGCACUAUAAAGGCUUCAGAGUCUGGACUCAGAUCUGCAGCAACACGUUUUUUUCUUCUUUUAUUUUUACGUACACCACUUCUUUGAGGUAACACCAGCCAAGAAAAAGACUGGGCCAAAGGAAUAAAUAAAA